UACGGGGGGGGCAAGCGUUGUUCGGAAUUACUGGGCGUAAAGGGCUCGUAGGCGGCCAACUAAGUCGGACGUGAAAUCCCCAGGCUCAACCUGGGAACUGCGUCCGAUACUGGAUGGCUUGAAUCCGGGAGAGGGAUGCAGAAUUCCAGGUGUAGCGGUGAAAUGCGUAGAUAUCGAGAGGAACACCUGCGGCGAAGGCGGGUUGCUGGGCUGACACUGACGCUGAUGCGCGAAAGCCAGGGGAGCAAACGGG
rnacentral:rRNA from 1 species